ACUCCUACGGGGAGGCAGCAGUGGGGAAUAUUGCACAAUGGGGGAAACCCUGAUGCAGCCAUGCCGCGUGUGUGAAGAAGGCCUUCGGGUUGUAAAGCACUUUCAGUCGUGAGGAAGGUGGUGUUGUUGAAUAGCUGCAUUAUUUGACGUUAGCGACAGAAGAAGCACCGGCUAACUCCGUGCCAGCAGCCGCGGUAAUACGGAGGGUGCGAGCGUUAAUCGGAAUUACUGGGCGUAAAGCGCGUGUAGGUGGCUUGUUAAGCCAGAUGUGAAAGCCCCGGGCUCAACCUCGGAAUUGCAUUUGAAACUGGCAGGCUAGAGUCUUGUAGAGGGGGUAGAAUUUCAGGUGUAGCGGUGAAAGUGCGUAGAGAUCUGAAGGAAUACCAGUGGCGAAGGCGGCCCCCUGGACAAAGACUGACGCUCAGAUGCGAAAGCGCUGGGGGAGCAAACA
rnacentral:rRNA from 1 species